ACUCAAAGGAAUUGACGGGGGCCCGCACAAGCGGUGGAGCAUGUGGUUUAAUUCGAUGCUACGCGAAGAACCUUACCUACCCUUGAAUCCACGAAAGAUUGCAGAGAUGCGAUUGUGCCUUCGGGAAUCGUGAGACAGGUGCUGCAUGGCUGUCGUCAGCUCGUGUCGUGAGAUGUUGGGUUAAGUCCCUUAACGAGCGCAACCCUUGUCCUUAGUUACUAACGGGUAAUGCCGAGGACUCUAAGGAGACUGCCGGUGAUAAAUCGGAGGAAGGUGGGGACGAUGUCAAGUCAUCAUGGCCCUUACGGGUAGGGCUACACACGUGCUACAAUGGUUGGAACAAAAGGCCGCGAAAUCGCGAGAUGGAGCAAAUCCUCUAAAACCAAUCGUAGUCCGGAUUGGAGUCUGCAACUCGACUCCAUGAAGCUGGAAUCGCUAGUAAUCGUGGAUCAGAACGCCACGGUGAAUACGUUCUCGGGCCUUGUACACACCGCCCGU
rnacentral:rRNA from 1 species